rnacentral:rRNA from 1 species
AGAUCGAACUAUAGAGUUUGAUCCUGGCUCAGAUUGAACGCUGGCGGAAUGCUUUACACAUGCAAGUCGAACGGCAGCACGGGGGCAACCCUGG